UACUGCAUGACUUCUGUUGUGUAGUCAAAGAUGGCCUCUGCUUGCAAGCUAUCGCUGAAGGAUGAGUCCGCGUACCAUUAGCUAGUUGGUAGGGUAAUGGCCUACCAAGGCAACGAUGGUUAGCUGGUCUGAGAGGAUGAUCAGCCACACUGGAACUGAGACACGGUCCAGACUCCUACGGGAGGCAGCAGUGAGGAAUAUUGCGCAAUGGGGGCAACCCUGACGCAGCAACGCCGCGUGAGUGAGGAAGGUUUUCGGACCGUAAAGCUCUGUCGAGCGGGAAGAAACGCAUAGUGGCUAAUAUCCAUUAUGCUUGACGGUACCGCUAAAGGAAGCACCGGCUAACUCCGUGCCAGCAGCCGCGGUAAUACGGGGGGUGCUAGCGUUGUUCGGAAUCAUUGGGCGUAAAGAGCGUGUAGGCGGCUGGAUAAGUCAGAUGUGAAAGCCCUGGGCUUAACCCAGGAAGUGCAUUUGAAACUGUUCAGCUUGAGUAAGGGAGAGGAAAGUGGAAUUCCUGGUGUAGAGGUGAAAUUCGUAGAUAUCAUGAGGAACACCGGUGGCGAAGGCGACUUUCUGGCCCUAUACUGACGCUGACACGCGAGAGCGUGGGUAGCAUACAGGAUUAGAUACUCUGGUAGUCCACGCUGCAAACGAUGUUCACUAGGUGUUGAGGGUAUUGACCCUCUCACUGUCGCAGCUAACGCAUUAAGUGAACCGGCU
rnacentral:rRNA from 1 species